UACGGAGGGUGCAAACGUUGCUCGGAAUCAUUGGGCGUAAAGCGCACGUAGGCGGCCUGUUAAGUCGGAUGUGAAAGCCCCGGGCUCAACCCGGGAAGUGCAUACGAAACGGGCGGGCUUGAAUAUGGAAGAGGGUCGCGGAAUUCCCGGUGUAGAGGUGAAAUUCGUAGAUAUCGGGAGGAACACCAGUGGCGAAGGCGGCCCACUGGUCCGGUACUGACGCUGAGGUGCGAAAGCGUGGGGAGCAAACAGG
rnacentral:rRNA from 1 species